GUGGAUAGGGGUGAAAGGCCAAUCAAACUUCGUGAUAGCUGGUUCUCUCCGAAAUAUAUUUAGGUAUAGCGUUGUGUCGUAAUAUAAGGGGGUAGAGCACUGAAUGGGCUAGGGCAUACACCAAUGUACCAAACCCUAUCAAACUCCGAAUACCUUAUAUGUAAUCACAGCAGUCAGGCGGCGAGUGAUAAAAUCCGUCGUCAAGAGGGAAACAACCCAGACUACCAGCUAAGGUCCCUAAAUCUUACUUAAGUGGAAAACGAUGUGAAGUUACUUAAACAACCAGGAGGUUGGCUUAGAAGCAGCCAUCCUUUAAAGAAAGCGUAAUAGCUCACUGGUCUAGUGAUUUUGCGCGGAAAAUAUAACGGGGCUAAAGUAAGUACCGAAGCCGUAGACUUGCGCACAACUUAGAUUAUUUAAGUUUAGAAUAUGAGAAACUAAGUUAUGUUU
rnacentral:rRNA from 1 species